rnacentral:miRNA from 1 species
UGGGUUUACGUUGGGAGAACUU